rnacentral:tRNA from 1 species
GCAUCGGUGGUUCAGUGGUAGAAUACUCGCCUGCCAGCCGCGAGCAGCCCGGGUUCAAUUCCCGGCCGAUGCA